GAUGAACGCUAGCUACAGGCUUAACACAUGCAAGUCGAGGGACCGGCGCACGGGUGAGUAACACGUAUCCAACCUGCCCUUUACUCGGGGAUAGCCUUUCGAAAGAAAGAUUAAUACCCGAUAUAAAGGAUGGGGAUGCGUUCCAUUAGGUUGUUGGUGAGGUAACGGCCAACCAAGCCUUCGAUGGAUAGGGGUGCUGAGAGGAGGGGCCCCCACAGUGGAACAGAGACACGGUCCAAACUCCUACGGGAGGCAGCAGUGGGUAAUAUUGGUGAAUGGGCGGUGGCCUGAACCAGCCAAGUAGCGUGAAGGAUGAAGGCUUAUGGGUCGUAAACUUCUUUUAUAUAAGAAUAUGUAUUAUAUGAAUAAGGAUCGGCUAACUCCGUGCCAGCAGCCGCGGUAAUAC
rnacentral:rRNA from 1 species